CGAUGAUAUUAGAGCAUCUGCAAUGGGGGUUUUAAACGAGUUUUAAGAUGGAUUCGUUAAUAUUUUAGAUUUAAGCCUAAUAUCUUUCAAUCCGGUUCUUGCAGAAGAGAUUUUAGACUCGUCUCUAAAUCGGAGUUCAUGAGCCAAAAUCAUUUUCAUCACAAAGCUUCUCUUCAUUAAUUUCGCAACGAUUUCGCCCGGACACAUUCACCGUUAAUCGGAGAACAUCUUUGUGUCGGCUUCCAUUAUGUCUUCAACUCGUCUCUUCGGCUCUCGUGUAAUCCGUUUCAUCUCCUCUGAUUUUUCGUUCAAGACAGUUCUAUCAUCAAGUUUUAUCUCUUUAGUGUUUGACUCGGAAUCGAAGACAGAGCUUUGAGAAGGUUAUGCCGAUCAGCUACAGCGAUAUGUCUUCUGAAGAACCAGAGCAGGACUUGGGGUGGGCCUAUGCUGAUGCUAACUACGACAUCCCUGAGAAAUGCUUAUGUGGCCUCCAGAUGAAGCUUGAAGUCUGAACAGGGAAGGGGAGAACAUAUAUAGAAGUGUUGGAAUGAAGGCGUGAAUGAGCAAAUCUCUAUCCUCCAGUCGCGUCUUCAAGAGCAAAAGGAGAUGCUUAAGCGUGACAGGUUUCAAGGAUUUAAUCCCGCGAUUGGAGAACUACAGGAAAAGAUCCGAGUGGUUGAAGGUGAAGUGUCAAGGCUGAAUGAGCUAUGUUUAAGCCAAGGAGAACUACAGGAUGAGGUCCGAGUGCUUCAAGGUGAAGUGGCCAGGCUGAAGGAUAUAUAUGCAAGCCAAGGUGAUAGCUUUAUGCUACUUUGUUUUCUAAUUGUUAUUGCUGCGGUUUCUUAUAUGUUUAAGUAGUAUAUCGUGAGUUGCAACUACUCCCUAUGUAUUAAAGACCAUUAUGUUUGACUAGACCGUUUGAGUAUAUCGUUUGUAUUAAGACUAAUAUGUUUGACUAGACCGUUUGUAUUAUGUUAAGAUUAUUCGCUAUUAUGAGGCAAAGUUGUCUGGUUAAUGAUUUUCGAGAAUGUAUAAGUUGCUUAGUAUUUAUUGGUGAGAGUUCAAGGUGAAGGUUGGAUGGCGGUAAGGUUAUUCUUCUUACCUUUUAUUUGUUAAUACUCGAUGCUUGGUUUUGUUUCGGGAAUAAUGGCUAACACGUACCUUUUUAUUUGCGAGGUUAUAUGGAGUGCAAUAAAUUCCUUAACAUGGAGCGAAUGAUCGAGUGGGUUCGUUUCAGCCUCAACCACAAGGUCACAGGUAUGCAAGGCACAAAGAGAGGACAAUGGCUGAUAUACAUUCACGGGUUUUUGUUGUGGUUCGAAUUUGUCGUUGCUCUACUUUGUAUUGAUAUGGUUUUGUGUCACGGAUACUUGAUUGACCAUUGUUGUUUCUCUGCUUUGUAAUGUAGACCACAUAUUUUUUUAUCAAUACUUGAUUAACCAUA